GAUGAACGCUGGCGGCGUGCCUAAUACAUGCAAGUCGAGCGAACAGAUGAGGAGCUUGCUCCUCUGACGUUAGCGGCGGACGGGUGAGUAACACGUGGAUAACCUACCUAUAAGACUGGGAUAACUUCGGGAAACCGGAGCUAAUACCGGAUAAUAUAUUGAACCGCAUGGUUCAAUAGUGAAAGACGGUUUUGCUGUCACUUAUAGAUGGAUCCGCGCCGCAUUAGCUAGUUGGUAAGGUAACGGCUUACCAAGGCAACGAUGCGUAGCCGACCUGAGAGGGUGAUCGGCCACACUGGAACUGAGACACGGUCCAGACGCCUACGGGAGGCAGCAGUAGGGAAUCGUCCGCAAUGGGCGAAAGCAUGACGGAGCAACGCCGCGUGAGUGAUGAAGGUCUUCGGAUCGUAAAACUCUGUUAUGAGGGAAGAACAAAUGUGUAAGUAACUAUGCACGUCUUGACGGUACCUAAUCAGAAAGCCACGGCUAACUACGUG
rnacentral:rRNA from 1 species